AGAGAGAGCGUGUGCACGAGUGAG
rnacentral:piRNA from 1 species